rnacentral:rRNA from 1 species
GAUGAACGCUAGCUGGAGGCUUAAUACAUGCAAGUCGAGCGGGAUUGGCGCAGCAAUGCGCCAUGAGAGCGGCGCACGGGUGAGUAACGCGUACACGACCUACCUCUAACAGGGGGAUAGCCCUGGGAAACCGGGAUUAAUACCGCAUAUUAUUCUAAUUUAUAAGUGAGUUGGAAUGAAAGCUGAGGCGGUUAGAGAUGGGUGUGCGUCUGAUUAGCUAGUCGGUAGGGUAACGGCCUACCAAGGCGAUGAUCAGUAGGGGGCGUGAGAGCGUGGACCCCCACACGGGUACUAAGACACGGACCCGACUCCUACGGGAGGCAGCAGUAAGGAAUAUUGGACAAUGGCCGCAAGGCUGAUCCAGCCAUCCAGCGUGCAGGAAGAAGGCCCUAUGGGUUGUAAACUGCCUUUGUCAGGGAAUAAACCCUCGUAUUUAUACGGGGCUGAAGGUACCUGAAGAAUAAGCACCGGCUAACUCCGUGCCAGCAGCCGCGGUAAUACGGGA